rnacentral:rRNA from 1 species
GAGUAAUGCAUGAGCAACCUGCCCUGGAGAGGGGGACGAACAGCUGGAAACGGCUGCUAAUACCGCAUGAUGUCACCGGAAGGCAUCUUCUGGUGACCAAAGAUUUAUCGCUCUGGGAUGGGCUCAUGUCUGAUUAGAUAGUUGGCGGGGCAACGGCCCACCAAGUCUGCGAUCAGUAGCCGGACUGAGAGGUUGAACGGCCACAUUGGGACUGAGAUACGGCCCAGACUCCUACGGGAGGCAGCAGUGGGGAAUAUUGGGCAAUGGGCGCAAGCCUGACCCAGCAACGCCGCGUGAAGGAAGAAGGCUUUCGGGUUGUAAACUUCUUUUAUCAGGGACGAAGAACGUGACGGUACCUGAUGAAUAAGCCACGGCUAACUACGUGCC